CGAUGCCAGAGCUAACUGAUGGGUGCACAUGGUUCCUUCGUAUGUUCUUCCUUUGAAGAAAUAAACGUGUUUCGAUGCCAGAGCUAACUGAUGGGUGCACAUGGUUCCUUCCUAUGUUCUUCCUUUGAAGAAAUAAACGUGUUUCGAUGCCAGAGCUAACUGAUGGGUGCACAUGGUUCCUUCGUAUGUUUUUCCUUGGAAAAAAUAAACUUGUUUCGAUGCCAGAGCUAACUGAUGGGUGCACAUGGUUCCUUCGUAUGUUCUUCCUUUGAAGAAA